UACGUAGGGACCAAGCGUUGUUCGGAUUUACUGGGCGUAAAGGGCGCGUAGGCGGCAUGACAAGUCACUUGUGAAAUCUCCGGGCUUAACUCGGAACGGUCAAGUGAUACUGUCGCGCUAGAGUGCGGAAGGGGCGAUCAGAAUUCUUGGUGUAGCGGUGAAAUGCGUAGAUAUCAAGAGGAAUACCUGAGGUGAAGACGGGUUGCUAGGCCGACACUGACGCUGAAGCGCGAAAGCCAGGGGAGCAAACGGG
rnacentral:rRNA from 1 species